ACCAACUCUGCUUUCCUGGCGGCGGCACUAUUCGAGAGCUCCAAGAACUCCAACAAGAACUUCCUCCAACAACUCCCAAGUUUUCAAUCUUAUUCCCUGCGAGGAGAUGGCCAUCAACUUCAUCGUCCCAUACUUUUAUUGUACCCCUGUUCAUCCACAAUCUAUCUUACCGAAUCCCUUUUCUUUUUGUUCUUCUUUUCAAAAAUUUCUAGGAUUUGGCCG
rnacentral:lncRNA from 1 species